AGAGUUUGAUCCUGGCUCAGGACGAACGCUGGCGGCGUGCCUAACACAUGCAAGUCGAACGGAACUGUUUUGAAAGAUUUCUUCGGAAUGAAUUUGAUUUAGUUUAGUGGCGGACGGGUGAGUAACGCGUGAGUAACCUGCCUUCAAGAGGGGGAUAACAUUCUGAAAAGAAUGCUAAUACCGCAUGAUAUAUCGGAACCACAUGGUUUUGAUAUCAAAGAUUUUAUCGCUUGAAGAUGGACUCGCGUCCGAUUAGUUAGUUGGUGAGGUAACGGCUCACCAAGACCGCGAUCGGUAGCCGGACUGAGAGGUUGAACGGCCACAUUGGGACUGAGACACGGCCCAGACUCCUACGGGAGGCAGCAGUGGGGGAUAUUGCGCAAUGGGGGCAACCCUGACGCAGCAACGCCGCGUGAAGGAUGAAGGUUUUCGGAUUGUAAACUUCUUUUAUUAAGGACGAAAAAUGACGGUACUUAAUGAAUAAGCUCCGGCUAACUACGUGCCAGCAGCCGCGGUAAUACGUAGGGAGCAAGCGUUGUCCGGAUUUACUGGGUGUAAAGGGUGCGUAGGCGGCUUUGCAAGUCAGAUGUGAAAUCUAUGGGCUCAACCCAUAAACUGCAUUUGAAACUGUAGAGCUUGAGUGAAGUAGAGGCAGGCGGAAUUCCCCGUGUAGCGGUGAAAUGCGUAGAGAUGGGGAGGAACACCAGUGGCGAAGGCGGCCUGCUGGGCUUUAACUGACGCUGAGGCACGAAAGCGUGGGUAGCAAACAGGAUUAGAUACCCUGGUAGUCCACGCUGUAAACG
rnacentral:rRNA from 1 species